AACGUACGCUGGCGGCACGCCUAACACAUGCAAGUCGAACGAAGUAGCAAUACUUAGUGGCAGACGGGUGAGUAACAUGUAGGUAUCUGCCCUUUGGCCUGGAAUAACACGAGGAAACUUGUGCUAAUACCGGAUAAGUCUUUACGGAGAAAGCUUUAUGCACCAUUGGAUGAGCCCGCACUUGAUUAGUUUGUUGGUGGGGUAAUGGCCUACCAAGACUGUGAUCAAUAGCUGAUUUGAGAGGAUGAUCAGCCACAUUGGGACUGAGACACGGCCCAAACUCCUACGGGAGGCAGCAGUGGGGAAUCUUGCACAAUGGAGGAAACUCUGAUGCAGCGAUGCCGCGUGAGUGAAGAAGGCCCUUGGGUUGUAAAGCUCUUUCGUCGGGGAAGAAAAUGACUGUACCCGAAUAAGAAGGUCCGGCUAACUUCGUGCCAGCAGCCGCGGUAAUACGAAGGGACCUAGCGUAGUUCGGAAUUACUGGGCUUAAAGAGUUCGUAGGUGGUUGAAAAAGUUAGUGGUGAAAUCCCAGAGCUUAACUCUGGAACUGCCAUUAAAACUUUUCAGCUAGAGUAUGAUAGAGGAAAGCAGAAUUUCUAGUGUAGAGGUGAAAUUCGUAGAUAUUAGAAAGAAUACCAAUUGCGAAGGCAGCUUUCUGGAUCAUUACUGACACUGAGGAACGAAAGCAUGGGUAGCGAAGAGGAUUAGAUACCCUCGUAGUCCAUGCCGUAAACGAUGUGUGUUAGACGUUGGAAAUUUAUUUUCAGUGUCGCAGGGAAACCGAUAAACACACCGCCUGGGGAGUACGACCGCAAGGUUAAAACUCAAAUGAAUUGACGGGGACCCGCACAAGUAGUGGAGCAUGUGGUUUAAUUCGAAGAUACGCGCAGAACCUUACCAACACUUGACAUGUUCGUCGCGACUCUAAGAGAUUAGAGUUUUCGGUUCGGCCGGACGAAACACAGGUGCUGCAUGGCUGUCGUCAGCUCGUGUCGUGAGAUGUUGGGUUAAGUCCCGCAACGAGCGCAACCCUCACUUUUAGUUGCCAUCAUUAAGUUGGGCACUCUGAAAGAACUGCCAGUGAUAAGCUGGAGGAAGGUGGGGAUGACGUCAAGUCCUCAUGGCCCUUACGUGUUGGGCUACACACGUGCUACAAUGGUAUCUACAACAGGAAGCAAGACUGCGAAGUUAAGCAAAUCCCUAAAAGAUACCUCAGUUCGGAUUGCACUCUGCAACUCGAGUGCAUGAAGCUGGAAUUACUAGUAAUCGUGGAUCAGCGUGCCACGGUGAAUGCGUUCCCGGGUCU
rnacentral:rRNA from 1 species